CCUACGGGCGGCAGCAGUGAGGAAUAUUGGUCAAUGGACGAGAGUCUGAACCAGCCAAGUAGCGUGAAGGAUGACUGCCCUAUGGGUUGUAAACUUCUUUUAUAAAGGAAUAAAACGAGGCACGUGUGCCUUUUUGCAUGUACUUUAUGAAUAAGGAUCGGCUAACUCCGUGCCAGCAGCCGCGGUAAUACGGAGGAUCCGAGCGUUAUCCGGAUUUAUUGGGUUUAAAGGGAGCGUAGAUGGGUUGUUAAGUCAGUUGUGAAAGUUUGCGGCUCAACCGUAAAAUUGCAAUUGAUACUGGCAGUCGUGAGUACAGUUGAGGUAGGCGGAAUUCGUGGUGUAGCGGUGAAAUGCUUAGAUAUCACGAAGAACCCCGAUUGCGAAGGCAGCUUACUAAACUGUGACUGACAUUGAUGCUCGAAAGUGUGGGUAUCAAACAGGAUUGGAUACCCGUGUAGUC
rnacentral:rRNA from 1 species